GUUGCACCUAGAGCGCGAAAGCGUCGAGUGGAAACUUGAGCUCUGGGCCCUCUGGCCGAGGCCCUGUGUGUGAGGGGCUGCGUUGAGAGGGAGGAUGAACGAGGCCACCUCCCGCGCCCCGGGGAGUGCGGGUCCCUCCAGCUCGGAGCUUCGGCUGCAGGGGACCCCGGUUUCCACACCAUUGUCAAGAAACUUGGCGAGGGACGCGCAGAGAGCUCCAAAGGCGUGUGGCAGGAAGCCUCCUCUUCAGACAUGGCUGGUGAAGACUCCAUGGUUCUAGGGUUAGCGGCUAAGCCAGACGCAAGAGUGUUAGGAGUGGAGUGGAAUAGACCACCAUCAUCAGUUCCAUCACCCAGCUUUCCUCAGUGUGAUUCAAGCAUUGAUCCACAGGAAGCAAGAGUCAGCAGGAAGUAUAGGUUCCAUCUGCCAAUUUGAAACCUGUGAGUGUGGGAGAUUCAUGCCAUCUUCCUGGCUUAGAUCCCUAAGCUGGCACCAGAACCUUCUGGAAUAGACUGGAGUAGUGACAAUGAGUUGUACCAGAAUGUAUCUAGAGUAGAGCUGGGUAGCCAAACCCUGUGCUACAUCUACCACUCCUCACUGAGAUAAUGGUUUAAAAAUUAUGGGUGUACUUUUGUUUUUUAAACACAGAACAAUUAUUAUUACAAGAAUUUUAAAUUCAUCUAUUUGGUUGGACCUAGUGUUAUUCUUUCGGUCCCUGGUCACUUUAAGGAACAAGUCACACCCACUCCCAGCUACCUCUGACCUCUCAUCGCCAUCUUGAAUUUCCUCUCUUGCCGUUCCCUUU